UCGAUUAAUCGUUGCAGCCCUACUAGAUAUCAUCAUGUUUUUCACUUUUUGUAAUGUCUGUUUAUUUUUAAAACCUUCCGAGCUAGAAGUACGAUGUUUUGCAAGCUCCACACUGUUUGGUUCGUGAAUUGGUGCUUUUGAACACAUUUUUAAGAGAAAAAAAUCGUGCACGAAAACUGAGUUUAAAGCGUUUGAUCGUCUUUGCUGAUAUUCGUUGGAUGUUUAUACACAAUUUCUGGAGUCUCUCGGUAGAUUCGUAAUCAGGCAGCUUUUAAUAAACGAUAUUAAGACUGACUUCGGCCGUAAGCUAGGAGUGUUUUUUUGCGAAUAACAUUUUGAACAAACGAUUCAGUGACUUACUUGUGGAGAACUGUGGCAUAACGGCAAAAUCACUUGUUGCUACCGACUGGUGAAACGAAGGAACCUGCUGAAAGAGUUCAAGUGCAGCAGAGACCGAGUGAUGUUUGGACAAGGAAUGAUCCGUAAUGAAAAAACCACAACGGACUGAAAAUGAGGAAACAUGAUGAUGGCACAGUUCUCGGCAGACGCGGGAGGCGUUUUAGUCGCAGUGAAGAGCAAAGGAUGCACAUUAGGGCAAAACAGUAAGUUAUGAAAGCUCAGAGGAUGUGAAUACAGGUUUAGCCUCUGUAACAGCAUUGAUGCAGACUGUAACAGCCAGCCAGUACUGAACAGAGGGAUGUGUGUGGGGAGAUGGAGGGAUGGAG